rnacentral:rRNA from 1 species
UGAGGAAUAUUGGUCAAUGGGCGCAGGCCUGAACCAGCCAAGUCGCGUGAGGGAAGACGGUCCUACGGAUUGUAAACCUCUUUUGUCGGGGAGUAACGUGCGGGACGGGUCCCGUAUUGAGAGUACCCGAAGAAAAAGCAUCGGCUAACUCCGUGCCAGCAGCCGCGGUAAUACGGAGGGUGCAAGCGUUAAUCGGAAUAACUGGGCGUAAAGGGCAUGCAGGCGGUUCAUCAAGUAGGAUGUGAAAUCCCCCGGGCUCAACCUGGGAACAGCAUACUAAACUGGUGGACUAGAGUAUUGCAGGGGGAGACGGAAUUCCAGGUGUAGCGGUGGAAUGCGUAGAUAUCUGGAAGAACACCAAAGGCGAAGGCAGUCUCCUGGGCAAAUACUGACGCUCAUAUGCGAAAGCGUGGGUAGC